rnacentral:tRNA from 1 species
GCCGAAGUAACUCAGCGGUAGAGUAGCUGUUUUGUAAACAGCAAGUCAUGGGUUCGAAUCCCAUCUUCGGCUCCA